CCUCCCAGGGUCCAUCUCUUACUCCACCACUGAAACCAUCUCUUCAAUGCUCUGAUGAGAAACAACAGGACACCUACUCUAACUUCAUUCCCUCUAGGAGAUCAAGAUGGCAGAACAGAAGACUCUACCAAUUGCCCCCCUCCCAAACCCCAAGGACUCCAAUUUAACAACUAUCUACCCACAAAAAAAGCAUCUUCAUAAGAACCCAUAAGCAGCUUCUGUUGCAGAUGAGAAGUUUUCAAUUUUAUAUCAAUUUUUGCUCCCCAAAGUGCACAAAUGUAACAGGCUACAAGUACAAGUUUUUCUGUUACCCCAAAUUGGCAAUUAAGGCCACAAUAUUAAAAUAGAGAAGUUGGAGAACUGAGAACAACCGGAGCUGACCACCUUCUUUAAGGCUUACGAAGACACAACCAGGUAAAGGCUCUGCUGCUCUAAAUCAUCACCCCAAACUGUACCUUCUCCCUCUCCAGUCAAGUCUGAAAGGAAGACUGAGGUAGGAACGGAGAAAAAGGAAAUGAUUAGAGGUAUAAGGUGGCCUUGGUAGGGGUGGGAAGGGAGUAAUGCUUCAGUUUUCUAUCUAUUCCACCAAGACAUGCCUCGCACCACUGAACCAAGUGCUGGGGCUGCCAUGAGAACCACUCUUAAAGCCUGGAAAGCAGUUCCUGUAGGAAAAGAAGGCCAGAAUUUCAUUUCUAGCUUUGACAUCUGCACCUGCAGUGGCCUUGCCAAUCCAGCCCCUGUACCUACCUGAACUGAGGGCAAAAAAAGUGACUUAGAAAAGGGAGAGAGCACAGCUUUGGGGCGACCCACACGUGUAUCUUCAUGGGCCAUGUGAACUUGGGGGAAGUAGCUAGGUUUGUGUUAUCUUGACAAAUUCUACCCACAAGGAUUGGCCAUUGAAAGCACAUCUCAGCAGCAGGAGCUGGGGAGUGUUCCAUGUAUGAGAUAUCAAUGACUGUGCAGUGGUGAGGUCCCCAAGGGGCUUCUGAAAACUCCCAGAUAGAGACCACUGCCUCCCAGUCCACAAUAACCAGAUAAACAGUCAAAAUUUUACAGAGGACAAACUUCAGCUGCACUAUUAAAUGUGAGAGACUUGUCCUUUUUUUCUUUCCCAAAUCACCACAAACUGUGGAACCCUAGAAGAAGGAGAGGGAGGUAGUAUCCCGGAGGCAGACCACACCCACAUCUUCUAUUCCCGACACCUUAUAUCUGAUCUGUGAUGUUGGAGGGAAUAGCUCUAAAUUAGAUUGAGAUUGAGGCUUGUCUAACACUGAAUUGUUAUGGUUUGUUUUUUUUAUAGAAGCAUAACCAAAAGAUCACAGGAUCUGCCCAAGUAAAAGAGAAAUUUGACAAAGCUUAAGUAAUUGAAAAAAAGAAGUUACUUUCAUAUAUAUGCCCCAGGGAAAUUCAGAAUAUUCAGCAAACUCAUUACUAAAAGUAAACAAAAUAAUAUGAUACUACCAUUAGGAAGAGAAGUACUUCAUUAAAGUGAUCACAAGUGAGAAAUUAAGGAGUAGGACACUAAACACACUCCAUAUUGUAUUUUUAAUAAUAAUUAGGAGACUUCAAAUCAAAGAGCAAACUAUGCAAGAUUAAUAAUGAUGGCACCUCAUCAGAGAAAUGCAAAUCAAAACCACAGUGAGAUACCAUCUCACACCAGUUAGAAUGGCCAUCAUUAAAAAAUCAGGAAACAACAGGUGCUGGAGAGGAUGUGGAGAAAUAGGAACACUUUUACACUGUUGGUGGGACUGUAAACUAGUUCAACCAUUGUGGAAGUCAGUGUGGCGAUUCCUCAGGGAUCUAGAACUAGAAAUACCAUUUGACCCAGCCAUCCCAUUACUGGGUAUAUACCCAAAAGACUAUAAAUCAUGCUGCUAUAAAGACACAUGCACACGUAUGUUUAUUGCGGCACUAUUCACAAUAGCAAAGACUUGGAACCAACCCAAAUGUCCAACAACAAUAGACUAGAUUAAGAAAAUGUGGCACAUAUACACCAUGGAAUACUAUGCAGCCAUAAAAAAUGAUGAGUUCGUGUCCUUUGUAGGGACAUGGAUGAAAUUGGAAAACAUCAUUCUCAGUAAACUAUCGCAAGGACAAAAAACCAAACACCGCAUGUUCUCACUCACAGGUGGGAAUUGAACAAUGAGAACUCAUGGACACAGGAAGGGGAACAUCACACUCCGGGGACUGUUGUGGGGUGGGGGGAGGGGGGAGGGACAGCAUUAGGAGAUAUACCUAAUGCUAAAUGACAAGUUAAUGGGUGCAGGAAAUCAACAUGGCACAUGGAUACAUAUGUAACAAACCUGCACAUUGUGCACAUGUACCCUAAAACCUAAAGUAUAAUAAAAAAUA